UCUCAACCACUUAAACUCCCAUGGCAGUUUCCAGCAGCUCCCCGUUUUUCUGCCCACGUCUGGUAACCUCCAAAUACCCUUCCUGUCUCCCCUUUUUCCUCCUCACGUCGCAGGUAGCCUUCAUAUACCCUUCCUCUUGUAGACAUCUGAUAUAUACACAGACAAAUAGCUUUCAUCAAUCCUUAUCUCAAACCUUCAUUCAAUCACAACCUGAUGUUAUACACCCCAACUUUCGUGCUCUUUCUCUAAGUUAAUCGUCAAUCGCUUGCGGAAAUCCAUAUCGGCUUCGUCAAUCUUCUUGAUAAUGUGUAUAUUUUAUCUAAUAAAUUCCACAUCUGCAAUGUAACACUGCAAAACUGAUGAUUGAAGGGCUGUGAUUUAAUCCUCUGUUCUAGACUCAUCAAGUGCGUUUAUGAAGGAGGUUGAAAUCUUUUAUAAAGAGAGGUGUUUGGGGUUUAAGCCUCCAAAGUUUUAUGGAGAGCCACUCAAUGCCUUAAGUUAUGGAGAUCGUUGAUCAGGCUCGGUGGCUAUGAACAGGUGACCUCUUAAAAGAUGUGGCGACAAAUUGGAGAAACAUUUAAACCCCUAAGACUUGUACUACUAUCUCAUGGACAUUCCGAGUUUUUUACAAGAAGGGGUGCGGACGAAAAUAUCCAAGGGGUGCGGUCGGACUUUUUCAAGGGGUGCAGUCGGGAUUUUUCGCGAAAAAUACCACUAAAAAUUAUUUUUUUCAAGGGGUGCAGCCGCCCACCCAACCCAUAAGGUGAGUCCGCCACUGCGUGUGAAUUAAUAAUGACAAAACACGAAAACACGGCACGAAUCUAACACGGAAUUCAUUGGUUUGUUUUUAGUCUAAAUGGGCCCGAUUUUGUUUAUGGUGGAACUCGCGAACACGUUUAGCUAAACAGGAUGGUCCAGGCCAACUGGUGGGUGGUUGACCCAUUUAUUGUAUAUAUAUUUUGUGCCAUAACUUAAACUGGUUGGGUAUUUUGUUCCAAAAUUUAAAAGGUUAAAAAGAGAAACGAGUAUCACGUUUUAUAAUUUAAACGUAAUUGUUUUUGUACAUAUUUGUAUUUUUGGUUGCAAGUUAGUUGCAAUUUUAGUGUAUAAUAUGCAAAAAACGUGUAAUCCGUGAUUUAAAGGGCCGUGUUUGUAACAACCCAUGAAUACGCGUGUCAUGAGUCAUGUUUGAGUUCAUGUGUUGUAACAACCCAUGGAUACGCGUGUCAUGACUCAUGUUUGAGUUUGUAUUUUGUAUUUGAGUAAAUCUUUGGGUUUGUGUCGGGGUUAACCCGUCAACCCAUGAGCACAAACGGUUAGCACCCAUACAUCUUGGUGAAAGUCUACUGAUUCUCGCUUUAUAUUUGACUUGAAUAUCAAAGUUUGCUGAAUUUAUCUUUUAGGUUCACGUUCAUUAUCAAAUCGCUGGCACAAAAGUUUGCAAGCGCUGCUUGAUUACGAGAAAUAUAAGAGUAGCAUCGGGGAGCUUCCGUUCACUCAUUGAUGUCUCUUCUGCAGAACCUGUUUCGAUGGGGAUAAAGUCGACCUCAUAACUACUCCUAGCAGUCUGGAGCUGGAAGACGAUGACAUUGGUGCUUAAUACGAGUUCAUGUACAAACAAUGAAUUUGUAAUUGUUUAUUGGUGUUUAUAGUUCCAUGCGCCGCAGCUCCGCCUACCCUCCUCCAUGUUUCGAUGGUGCUCUUCUUCUGGUACGGCGAUUCUGCUCUACUCAAAACUUAUAUGAAAAAUGCUUUUGUGGUGAGUUUUGUCAUAAAUCUUUCAUGGUUCAUGUGUAUCAGCGAGAUUUAGUUUUAUAUAUCUCUGAUUAGACACACAUUAU